rnacentral:misc_RNA from 1 species
AAGUCGUAACAAGGUUUCCGUAGGUGAACCUGCGGAAGGAUCAUUAACACGUAUCCAAACGUUACUCGUACGUCCGUUAGAAAAAGCAGCAAUCCCUGGUAAAUCAUCGCCGAACAGUUUUCGAUUCAGGGACGUCUGCAAGGAGCGUGCAUGUUGUGCGUGUAAGUGGCCUGGCAUCCCCAAGCAGUUAGUGUCUGAAAGUGUCACUAACGUUAGUGUCUGAAAGUGUCACUAACAUGUGUAAGGAUGACGCAGUCACGAUCGUUGGAGGCCCACACGGCCGACGACCGGGUCACUGGGUGCAAGCCCCCUUAUCACACCCCUGCUCUAUCUAUGGUGAUCCUGCGGGAAGUCCUGCGGUCGAACGCCGAAACCGAACAACUGUUAACAAUGGAUAUCUUGGUUCUC